GAAGAACGCUAGCUACAGGCUUAACACAUGCAAGUCGAGGGGAAACGAUAUUGGAAGCUUGCUUUCGAUAGGCGUCGACCGGCGCACGGGUGAGUAACGCGUAUCGAACCUGCCCACCACUUGGGGAUAACCUUGCGAAAGUAAGACUAAUACCCAAUGACGUCUCUAGAAGACAUCUGAAAGAGAUUAAAGAUUUAUCGGUGAUGGAGGGGGAUGCGUCUGAUUGGCUUGUUGGCGGGGUAACGGCCCACCAAGGCGACGAUCAGUAGGGGCUCUGAGCGGAAGGUCCCCGACAUUGGAACUGAGACACGGUCCAAACUCCUACGGGAGGCAGCAGUGAGGAAUAUUGGUCAAUGGGCGAGAGCCUGAACCAGUCAAGUAACGUGCAGGAUGACGGCCCUAUGGGUUGUAAACUGCUUUUAUAAGGGAAUAAGGUGAGUCUCGUGAGACUUUUUGCAUGUACCUUAUGAAUAAGGACCGGCUAAUUCCGUGCCAGCAGCCGCGGUAA
rnacentral:rRNA from 1 species